AUUUAUUCCCAGUCGUAAAAAUUCGUUUGACAGUCGUAAUUUGCAUUUCUUUGUGUCUUUAUACGUCUUAUAUUUCAUGGUUAUUUCAACCAAGAUAAUGUGUAAUUUCAAUAAUUUGAUAUUUUUUGUGGUGAUUUUGUUGAUUUGGGCAUCGACAGGAAACUGCUUGAAGUGUUAUGAUUGCACGACAUCCGAUGAUAAAAAUGCUUGUGAUCAUCCAAAUGUUGUUGAAAAAGGUGAUACGGAAUCUGAAAAACAAGUGUGCCUUACAAUUGAGUACACCAGAUCAAAUGAUUCUAAAUCAUUCGCCAUGAGGAAGAUAUUCGGUCUAUCUCCAGAAAAGAAUACUAUCGAGGCUUGCGAAUUAUUCAAGAGUAUUUUAAAUAUCGCUGAAAAUGUCAAGGUGC